rnacentral:rRNA from 1 species
CACGUAGUUAGCCGGUGCUUAUUCUUCAGGUACCGUCAUUAGCGAAGGAUAUUAGCCCCCACCGUUUCUUCCCUGACAAAAGAGCUUUACAACCCGAAGGCCUUCUUCACUCACGCGGCAUUGCUGGAUCAGGCUUGCGCCCAUUGUCCAAAAAUUCCCCACUGCUGCCUCCCGUAGGAGUCUGGACCGUGUCUCAGUUCCAGUGUGGCUGGUCGUCCUCUCAGACCAGCUACUGAUCGUCGCCUUGGUGAGCCUUUACCUCACCAACUAGCUAAUCAGAUAUCGGCCGCUCCAGGAGCACAAGGUCCGAAGACUCCCCUGCUUUCAUCCUUAGAUCGUAUGCGGUAUUAGCGUUAACUUUCGCUUACGUUACUCCCCCACUUCUUGGGUACGUUCCGAUAUAUUACUCACCCGUUCGCCACUCGUCAGCGGAGCAAGCUCCUGUUACCGUCGACUUGCAUGUAGUAAAGCAAUCGCCGCCUAGCCGUUACAAAUCUAGACGUCCAAGGACUAA